rnacentral:rRNA from 1 species
AUGAACGCUAGCGACAGGCUUAACACAUGCAAGUCGAGGGGCAGCGGGGGUAGCAAUACCCGCCGGCGACCGGCGCACGGGUGAGUAACGCGUAUGCAACUUACCUAUCAGAGGGGGAUAACCCGGCGAAAGUCGGACUAAUACCGCAUGAAGCAGGGAUCCCGCAUGGGAAUAUUUGCUAAAGAUUCAUCGCUGAUAGAUAGGCAUGCGUUCCAUUAGGCAGUUGGCGGGGUAGCGGCCCACCAAACCGACGAUGGAUAGGGGUUCUGAGAGGAAGGUCCCCCACAUUGGUACUGAGACACGGACCAAACUCCUACGGGAGGCAGCAGUGAGGAAUAUUGGUCAAUGGCCGAGAGGCUGAACCAGCCAAGUCGCGUGAGGGAUGAAGGUUCUAUGGAUCGUAAACCUCUUUUAUAAGGGAAUAAAGUGCGGGACGUGUCCCGUUUUGUAUGUACCUUAUGAAUAAGGAUCGGCUAACUCCGUGCCAGCAGCCGCGGUAAUACGGAGGAUCCGAGCGUUAUCCGGAUUUAUUGGGUUUAAAGGGUGCGUAGGCGGCCUUUUAAGUCAGCGGUGAAAGUCUGUGGCUCAACCAUAGAAUUGCCGUUGAAACUGGGGGGCUUGAGUAUGUUUGAGGCAGGCGGAAUGCGUGGUGUAGCGGUGAAAUGCAUAGAUAUCACGCAGAACCCCGAUUGCGAAGGCAGCCUGCCAAGCCAUGACUGACGCUGAUGCACGAAAGCGUGGGGAUCAAACAGGAUUAGAUACCCUGGUAGUCCACGCAGUAAACGAUGAUCACUAGCUGUUUGCGAUACACUGUAAGCGGCACAGCGAAAGCGUUAAGUGAUCCACCUGGGGAGUACGCCGGCAACGGUGAAACUCAAAGGAAUUGACGGGGGCCCGCACAAGCGGAGGAACAUGUGGUUUAAUUCGAUGAUACGCGAGGAACCUUACCCGGGUUUGAACGCAUUCGGACCGAGGUGGAAACACCUUUUCUAGCAAUAGCCGUUUGCGAGGUGCUGCAUGGUUGUCGUCAGCUCGUGCCGUGAGGUGUCGGCUUAAGUGCCAUAACGAGCGCAACCCUUGCCACUAGUUACUAACAGGUAAAGCUGAGGACUCUGGUGGGACUGCCAGCGUAAGCUGCGAGGAAGGCGGGGAUGACGUCAAAUCAGCACGGCCCUUACAUCCGGGGCGACACACGUGUUACAAUGGCGUGGACAAAGGGAAGCCACCUGGCGACAGGGAGCGAAUCCCCAAACCACGUCUCAGUUCGGAUCGGAGUCUGCAACCCGACUCCGUGAAGCUGGAUUCGCUAGUAAUCGCGCAUCAGCCAUGGCGCGGUGAAUACGUUCCCGGGCCUUGUACACACCGCCCGUCAAGCCAUGGGAGCCGGGGGUACCUGAAGUCCGUAACCGCGAGGAUCGGCCUAGGGUAAAACUGGUGACUGGGGCU